rnacentral:rRNA from 1 species
AUCUUAAACUUCUUAGACGAAUCACCAGACCGGAAAACAUCCUUCAUAGAAAUUUCACGCGGCGGCAAGUUGCCAUACAAAACAGGGUCGCCAGCAAUAUCGGUAUAAGUCAAAGCACCUUUAGCGUUAAGGUACUGAAUCUCUUUAGUCGCAGUAGGCGGAAAACGAACAAGCGCAAGAGUAAACAUAGUGCC